CCCCAAAUCUCUUUCUCUCUCCCUCCUUAACCGAUCAUAUCCUUGUCUUUCUCCCUUUCUCUCUCGUAUGCUCUCUGCCAGCCCCGAACGGUUACUCACCGAUCGUCGCCGGCGUUCAAGCACCGGACCAGGAAGACCAGACACUGCCGAAACUCCAUCCUCGUGAGCCCUUCGUCGUCGUUCUUCCCUACGAGCAGAAGCCUCUAGGUCUGUACUUUGUCGCCGUGGGUUUAAGGCCAAUUUCUAGUUGCUCUGACAUCAUCUCAGGCGAAGGGUAGUAUGGGUGAACUAAUGGUAUCAAGACGAACAAAGCCCAACCAAGGAUUGGGCUUUUAAGUGAUAGGAGGAGACGAAAUGAGCUCGUCAGCGUCCAUGGGUUUCCGAGGCUGUUUGACCUUGACUUUCCAUCAACAAUAAGCGGAGAGCCUCCCCACCAGAAGAAAGAACCCAGGCAAGAGCACUUGUGCCUCCUUUUAUCUAUGUAGUGGAAUUAGCAAGGAGCAUUACAAAAGCUUGCUAUUGAUUGGAAGAUAUAUAAUCUUUUAUUCGUUUUAAUAUUAUACAAGUGUACGUUACAAGAGUUUAAAUAUCUUAAAUAUUCAUUCAUAGUGAGUAGUAGGUUCUGAGAUUAUAAUUGCGUACUGCAGUGAUAAUGGAAGGUUGAGAACUUACAUGUCUUAGUGAAGUAGGUUCGGUGAUAUAUAUAAUUGCGUGUUGGGGGAGAUAUAAGGAAAAAAAAUUGCAUGUUGUUUGAAUUGAUUGAAUUAUUUGAGGUGGUAUUGACAGAUUGUUAGAUUACAAAUAUAGGGGAAGUGCUGCCCAUUUCUAAUUUAGUCAUGAUAAUUAAAAAUAAUGACAAUCAAUAAAGAUUAUUAUUUUUUUUGCUUGAAGACCUUAAAUACACUAACUAAAUCAUAAAAGAUAGUAUGAAUGAUUUAGAAACUACUAUAUUUCCAAAGUUCUGAAAAGUACCAACAAUAUUGUCACAUCUUUGUUAAAAAAAAUGAAUAUUGUCAUGAUCUCCAAUUACAUUUGUUGCCCCCAAAAGAAAAAAUGAACACGAACUUUGCUGCAGCAAAAGUAAGUCAGAGAGCAGUCUUUGUCCACUGAAACUUUGUUGUAGCAUUACACGAACUUUGCUGUAGCAAAAGUAAGUCAGAGAGCUCUCAUUGUCCAUUGAAACUUUGUUGUAGCAUUACACGAACUUUGCUACAGCAAAAGUAAGUCAGAAAGUUGUCCUUGUCCACUGAAACUUUGUUGUAGCAUUACACGAACUUUGCUCAGCAAAAGUAAGUCAGAGAGCUUGCUCAAAAUUGAUGUUGUAGCAUCAUUUAGUUACGUAUAGUGCUUGGAUCCCAUUAACCUCCAGUUACGCAUUGAGAUUAAAAAUAUAGUUAGGAUGUAAAUUUAUAUAAGUUUCAUUCCUUAAUGUAUAUUAUCAUUUUAAAA